UACGUAGGGGGCUAGCGUUGUCCGGAAUCAUUGGGCGUAAAGAGCGCGUAGGCGGCUAGAUAAGUCCGGUGUGAAAGUCACAGGCUCAACCUGUGAAUGCCGCUGGAAACUGUCUGGCUAGAGUCCGGAAGGGGCGAGUGGAAUUCCUGGUGUAGCGGUGAAAUGCGCAGAUAUCAGGAGGAACACCGGUGGCGAAGGCGGUUCUCUGGGCAUGACCUGACGCUGAGGAGCGAAAGUGUGGGGAGCGAACAGG
rnacentral:rRNA from 1 species